rfam:Stegodyphus mimosarum contig119993, whole genome shotgun sequence.
GCGUUCGUGGUGUAGUGGUCAGCACGCUCGACGCGUAACCGAGAGGACCGUAGUUCGAUUCCCGGCGGAGGCG